rnacentral:lncRNA from 1 species
GGGUCUAUCAGGGUCAGCUGCAACACAAACUGUAACUGAUCGAGCUGCGGUUGGUGAUGUGUACUUCUUCAGUCUCAAUUUCUUCCCCCUAAGAAAAGAAGCCUUUGCUGACCCGACAAGGGAUCCAGUCUUCUGGGAACUGCAAUGUUAAUAGCAAGUCCUUUGUUGUUUCAUUAUAAGCCUUGAUUAUACAAGUCACUAACACGUAAUUAAGAAUUAAUCUAGAAUGAAGCAGCAUGAUCAACUUAACUAAUAUUGAAAAGUUCAAGUAUAUGCCACACAGCUAACAGUUGUUAAUAGCAUAAUAACAGGUGGUCGUUAUGGGAUUUGAGAGAACUUGCCUGGAAGAAGAGAUGGAAACGGCUGCAAUGGCAGACGGAGCACAAACAGCAGCCAUUUUUUAUUUUAUUUUUGCUAAAAGACUCUCUUCCAAUCAGUUUGUGCUUUGUUUGAAAGGCUUAUGGAGGUGGGUUGCAAAUCUGUUAAUGCAUGCCGGGGCUUAUCUUAAAGGAUAGGAGAAAUAAUGUCUAACUGGCUACUUGAUUGCCAGGUGGCAUGCAGAAUCUGAAAUGAAGCGCCUCUACCUCCACAUCUUUUGCUUACUUUGAUGAAUCAUAAA